AUGUAACUAGUCUCCUCAUUUGAUCUCUCAAGGAUCAUUCUCUGACAUAAAGUUGAGUUUCCACUUAGUUUAAGAGAGAUAGAGAGCAUGAUUCACAUAGUUUAAGAGAGAUAGAGAGCAUGAUUCACACUUGAGUGGUGAUUCUAACUUCACACAUCAACCAUGUUGAUCAGAAUGUGGAUGAAGAUAUUGUUCUUUUGGCCACAGACGAUGAUGAUUAUGGCUAUGACUAUGCCCCAGCCAAAUCACUGGAAGGUGGAGGGGAUGACGAUGAUGAUGGAGAUUACGACUAUGCUCACUAUAACAAAUAGAGGAUUGGCAUAGUUCCUUGCGAGCUAGUUGUGUAGUGUAAUGAAGACUUUUGCCUCCGAAUAAAAAAUAGAAAAGCAAUCAUGGCCAAACUCUGAACUAUGACGUGUACGUUGAAUGCUGAAGUGUCAUUUGAAACCCUAGGAAGUUGGACCACUCUAUAGAGCACCACAUCCCACAGGCAUCAGGUCAUGCACACACCUGAAGCCCUAACCCACACUCCCCAACGUGCUUGACUUGUGUCCAAAUGAGUUCGACGCCUUCCCUUCCCUCUAUAUAUAUGCACCACAUCUCUUAAUUAACCCUACCCCAAAUUCACAGAUUUUUUUUUUAAUUUCCUUCCCCUGUUUCUAUAAUAUAAUUAAAAUGUCUCCCAUGUUCAAAAUCAUUGCCUCUUGGUGCCAUUACCGUUUUGAUGAUGAGGGAGAAAUUGGUGAUGAUAAAUAUUAUCAUGCACCAACUCCAUAUAUUACUGAAGGCGAUGGCGAUGAUGACGAUGGAGAUUAUGACUAUGCUCCUGCAGCAUCUUUAAAUGGUGAUGACGACGACGACGACGACGAUAGUGAUUGUGCUCCGGCUGCAUGAUGAUAAUAAGCCUUUUUUUUUUUUUAAGCAGAGAAAUUUAUUAGAAAGUAAAUAAAGAUAUGGAAGGAGAAGAAGAGCUCCAGCUACACCCAUGCCAGCAGGCACAACCCAAUAGCUAUAUAUGUGCUUGAUGGUAGCACAUGAAGACCAGUAUUUUUUUAUUUUUUUUUUUUUUUUAAGUUCUUCAUCCCUUUAAUAAUUUUAAUUUUUUUUAAGGAGGGGAUGGGAUACCAUAUAACAAGCCAAACUCUAUCCAUGGAUUAAUUGAUGAUGAGAUGGUUGCUCUAAAAGGUUCUCUGGAAGAUGUAUCUGUAUGGAAUGCGAUCGAUGAGAUGCAUUUUAUAUCAAACUUUGAUCAUCUUGCCAGUUACUUAAUAUAAUGUAAGUUAAUAACUUUUUCAAUGAGAACCAUAUAUAUACAUA